UACGUAGGUGGCAAGCGUUGUCCGGAAUCACUGGGCGUAAAGCGCGCGCAGGCGGCGAUCUACGUCUGGGGUGAAAGCCCGGAGCUCAACUCCGGGACUGCCUUGGAUACGGGAUCGCUUGAGAAUUGGAGAGGCAAGGGGAAUUCCAGGUGUAGCGGUGAAAUGCGUAGAUAUCUGGAGGAACACCGGUGGCGAAGGCGGCAUUCUGGGACUACAACUGACACUGAGGAACGAAAGCCAGGGGAGCAAA
rnacentral:rRNA from 1 species